CAGAAGCAUUACCUGCCCCAGAGGCUACCUGCCACUCAGUGAAGAUCAUAUGCCUAAGUCAUGACAUCAACAUCAAACUCUCUUCAAAUCUGGGAGAAAGGCUCAGCUCUUACAACCAGGACAAGAAGAAAUGACACCAGUAGAGAGAUCAUUUGGUGAGCAGCAGGGUUGAAAGAGCCUCAAACCAUGGAGAGAGAGCCUGGAUCUCGAGUAGAAAGGCUUCUGGCACUGAAGAAGUCAAACAGGAUCCCUGAGAGGGAAAAAGCCAGGAGCUUGGGGAAUUAUCUUCACCAAGGUCUGUCUAGAGAUGUGGUUGGCAGAUUUAUGACCCCCAAAGAUGUCUACAUCCUAAACCCAGGAAUCUGUGAGUUGCUAAGACUGAGUAAAACAAGAAAAGCAAUGGGGAACCUCACUCACAUCCAUGCUUCCUUGUCUCAUCUGUAUGUAUGAUUUUUGCACAACUUAUUUGAUACUUUGGACAUAAAGCAAGGUAAAGUACACUCGAAUUGAGUCCAAGGUGAUAUUACUACCAAUCCUUUAAUCCAAGCUUUAUUUAGUGGUUGAACUUAGCAAAAUUUACUUGGUAAAUUCACAUGAAAUAUCAGAACCAAUCGUAGAUGCCUCAGGGAGAUAGGGUGGAAUAAUUGAAAGGGAGAGGAAGUAUCCCUAUUUAUGUUAUUUUUGUAGCUGUGAAGUUUUAAAUCUGUUGAGAAAAAUCUUGCUUCCAUAUUAAGAGAUCAUGCCUAAAAGUAGAAAAGAAAAAAAGAAAAGCAGAGUGAGAGAUGGAGAAAGACCAGGU
rnacentral:lncRNA from 1 species